GAUGAACGCUGACAGAAUGCUUAACACAUCAGCAAUUGAUUGGUGGCGGACUGGUGAGUAACGCGUAAAGUACUUGCCUCACAGCUUGGGACAACAUUUGGAAACGAAUGCUAAUACCUAAUCCUGUGAGAGAGCUUUGCGUCCCAUUAGCUAGUUGGAGAGGUAACGGCUCACUAAGGCGAUGAUGUGUCGCCGGCCUGGGAGGGUGAUCGGCCACAAGGGGAAUGGGAGACGGCAGUUAGUCCUACGGGAGGAAGCAGUGAGGAAUAUUGGACAAUGGACCAAAGUCUGAUAAAGGAAUUCUGUGUGAACGAUGAAGGUUUCGGAAUGUAAAGUGCUUUCAGUUGAGAAGCGGUACCAACAGAAGAAGUGACGGCUAAAUACGUGCCAGCAGCCGCGGUAAUAC
rnacentral:rRNA from 1 species